GGCCCAAUGGUCUAGACGUAUGAUACACGCUUCGGGAUGUCCCGCUUACCUGUGUAAGCCAUUUGUGUGUGGUCCCGGGUUCAAUUCCCGGUUGGGCCC